CCAAAUUGGGAUUUUUCUUCCAUACUAUUUGGUAAUGUUCUUUUUCACUUAACAUUAUAUGUUGUUAAGAAUUUUCACUCUGGCUUGACUUUAAAGCCAAAUAUAACAAAUUUUGAGUUACUUUUAUGUAUAUUUUAUGCUUUUCCCCCUUCUUAGUACAGGUAUAGAAGAACAUCUAUGCAACAUUAUGACCAAAUCUGUUAUUUGGCCAAACAACUUUGGAAAAAUAUCAAAUUUACGGGAGUACACUUGAGGAGCAAUCGACCCAAAGGAAAAGCACGAUUCAGGCCCCGCCUGCCUCGGCUCCACCUCCCACGGGCCCCACUCCCAGGGCCUCGGCCGCGGGACCACGCCUUCCAGGCCCCGCCUCCCAGGGCCCCGCCCUGCUUUUCCCCUCGCCCCGCCCCGGCCCGUCGCCAUGUUGUUCCCUCCGCGCUGGACGGGAGCAGCUGGACCUGGAACCUGGCUGCGCUACCGCCGCUGCCUCCUGCUGUGCAGGUCCCCGACCCUCUCUCUGCCCUCAUUGCACCCAGACGGGCCGGCCCAGAGCUCCCGACUCGUCUUCCGUGUGGUUGCGAGCCUCCCCUCAUUUCUGACCAUUUAUUGAGCACUCACUCUGGCGCGGUGAAUAUUCUGUGCGUGUAAAUCCUGUACGUACAUCAUUUCAUUUAAUUUUCAUAGCAUUUCUUCAGUAAGAGCUCCAUGUUACAGUUGAGGAAUUUGGGGGGGCAUAGGAAGGUUCAGUCUGUUUUCCAAGAUGACCCAGGUUGUGAUGGGGUCGAGCGGGGAUUCAAAGCAGAUCUGGGUAAUUUUAGAGUAAUAGUUCUCAGCUGGAAGAGAGGACAAUUUUGUCCUCCUAGGAGGUAUCUGGCAAUGUCUGCAGGCAUUUUUGGUUCACUCCUGGGGGCAAGGGAGGUGCUGCUGACAUCUAGUGGGUAGAGGCCAGAGAUGCUGCUUAACAUUCUUUUUUAUUUUUAUUUUUGUUAUUUAAUUUUUAAUUUUUGCUGCUAAACAUUCUAUAACCUACAGGACACCCCCCCCCCCCCCCCCCAACAAAGAGCUGUCUAGCCCAAAAUGUCAGUAGUGCCACGGUUGAGAAACCUUGCUUUUCAGCAGUCCGAGUAACCCCAGAGCUUACAUUUCAACUGCUUUUGUAGUUUUUCAAAUGCAAUGUCAUUUUCCUAUUUGGGAUACCUCAUCAUUUUAACAGUGAGCAGGGGAAAAUUCUCUCUACUGAGAAGCAUAUUCACUUGAAAGAUUAAAGAGUGAGUGGCUGGGCACGAUGGCUCACGCCUGUAAUCCCAGCACUUUGGGAGGCCGAGGUGGGUGGAUCACGAGGUCAGGAGUUUGAGACCAGCCUGGCCAACAUGGUGAAACCCCAUUUCUACUAAAAAUACAAAAAUUAGCCAGGCGUGGUGGCGGAUGCCUGUAAUGCCACCUACUCAGGAGGCUGAAUUCAGGAGAAUCACUUGAACCCGGGAGGCAGAGAUUGCAGUGAGCCAAGGUCACGCCACUGCACUCCAGCCUGGGCGACAGAGUGAGACUCCAUCUCAAAAAAAAAAAAAAAAAAGGGAGCAAAUAAUUUCUGGUAGCAGAAUCUGUUUUUUGUUUUAAGGCAAAAAUGACAAAAAGAACUUUAGAGCUA
rnacentral:lncRNA from 1 species